rnacentral:misc_RNA from 1 species
GGAGCGGAAAACUUCUCGUCGAGUCAAUGAUUUGCAAUAUCAGAUAGGUCUUCGAUACACUGGUGGUGCUCGCAUGCUGUUAAUGCUGUCACUAAAGUUUGGAGUCAUCCCCAUUUCUGUGCCAGUCGGUGUUCGGAACUUUGACAUUGAUGGUGAACUUUGGGUCAAGUUACGAUUAAUACAAACAGAGCCUUGGAUUGGAGCUGUUUCUUGGGCUUUUGUCUCCCUUCCCAAGAUAAAACUUGACUUGUCACCCUUCCGUUUGUUCAACCUAAUGGCAAUUCCUG